rnacentral:rRNA from 1 species
UCAGGUAGGAAUACCCGCUGAACUUAAGCAUAUCAAUAAGCGGAGGAAAAGAAACCAACAGGGAUUGCCCUAGUAACGGCGAGUGAAGCGGCAACAGCUCAAAUUUGAAAUCUGGCUUCGGCCCGAGUUGUAAUUUGUAGAGGAUGCUUUUGGUGAGGUGCCUUCUGAGUUCCCUGGAACGGGACGCCAGAGAGGGUGAGAGCCCCGUAUAGUCGGCCACCGAUCCUUUGUAAAGCUCCUUCGACGAGUCGAGUAGUUUGGGAAUGCUGCUCAAAAUGGGAGGUAUAUCUCUUCUAAAGCUAAAUAUAGGCCAGAGACCGAUAGCGCACAAGUAGAGUGAUCGAAAGAUGAAAAGCACUUUGAAAAGAGGGUUAAAUAGCACGUGAAAUUGUUGAAAGGGAAGCGCUUGUGACCAGACUUGUGCCGGGCUGAUCAUCCAGUGUUCUCACUGGUGCACUCGACCCGGCUCAGGCCAGCGUCGGUUUUCGUGGGGGGAUAAAAGCUUCGGGAACGUGG